GACGAACGCUGGCGGUGUGCUUAACACAUGCAAGUCGAACAGUAAGGCCCUUUCGGGGGUACACGAGUGGCGAACGGGUGAGUAACACGUGAGUAACCUGCCCUCAUCUCUGGGAUAACAGUCGGAAACGGUUGCUAAUACUGGAUAUGAGCUUGCAAGGCAUCUUGUGGGUUGGAAAGAUUUUUUUGGUUGGGGAUGGACUCGCGGCCUAUCAGCUUGUUGGUGAGGUAGUGGCUCACCAAGGCUUCGACGGGUAGCCGGCCUGAGAGGGCGACCGGCCACAUUGGGACUGAGAUACGGCCCAAACUCCUACGGGAGGCAGCAGUGGGGAAUAUUGCACAAUGGACGGAAGUCUGAUGCAGCAACGCCGCGUGCGGGAUGACGGCCUUCGGGUUGUAAACCGCUUUCAAUUGUGACGAAGCUUUUUGUGACGGUAGCAGUAGAAGAAGCACCGGCUAACUACGUG
rnacentral:rRNA from 1 species